GAACUGGUGAAUUCUUUGGACAAAGAAGUGGUUCAGGAUUUGCUAGUAAGCAAAAAUCAAAAUUCACAGGAAAGCCUUUUGUUACACGGAAAUCUUCUGCUGAUCUCAUUGCAAUGGGAUGAGCCGUGUUCCCAAAAUAAACCUGGUGAGAGGAUGGUUUUCUUUUACAAGUGUAGUGGAAAUGCUAAGUCACAGCUUAAACCAGUGAUUGAGGAUCUGGUAGGAAGGCAGGGCCAAACCAGGGAGCUCAGGUGCAGCAAUGCAUGGGAGUGUCUGGAAGGGGUGCAGCCAGGUGGAGCCACCCCUUCCCAGACCUCAUUUAAGGGUCCACAGGGGAGUGGAGGUUUUUGUUUGUUUGGUUGGUUGUUUUUUUUUUUUUUUUUCUUUUCUUCCUUUCCUGGAGAUUUCUGCCUAUCUGAGGAUGUUACAGGCCUUCCAAAGAUGGCAGAGCUGAUGCACAAAGAAACUAUAACGUGCUCAAGGUUGGACAGAAACCUGUGGCAGAAGCUCCCACUUCUCUUUGUUGGCAUUGUCAACAAAAAUAAUGAAAAGUUACUUCAGCAGUGAGAUUUGUCCAAGAAAUAUGGAGAGGAGUAAUCACCAAGUAGGGAAGCAGGGCAAGGCUGAGGAGGAAUUGGGCACAGUGACACUGACUGCCUCAGCCAAUGGAAUCGAUAUCAGACGCAGAAAGGACAAGACAAUGGAAUUAAAACAUUCAAAAUUCUUUUCAGCACUUCCAGAUGCCGAUAGCAGAGACGUACUGACAUGAAAACCUCAACAAAAAAGUUGUAUCUACCCCAUCUACCUCUGUGAUGACAGAAUCACAGAAUGGCUUGUGUUGGAAGGAACCUCAAGGAUCAUGAAGCUCCAACCCCCUCGCCACAAGCAGGGCCACCAACCUCUGCAUUUAAUCCCAGACCAGACCACAUUUAAUGCCCAGGGCCCCAUCCAACCUGACGUUGAACAUCUCCAGGGAUGAGGCAUCCACAACCUCUUUGUGCAGCUGUUCCAGCACCUCACCACUCUCAUAGUAAAGAAAUUACAGAUUAUGAAGUAGUGGUUCCUGUGUGUAUCUGCUGUGCUGACCUCACCUAUAAAUGACUCUGCAGUGGAAAAGAUUCUUCUGUUCCCAAAAAUAUAAAUUACUCUUUAGACUAGGUUUUGCAUUCAAGCUAAUACAAUGGUGUUACUCAUAAGAGUGAAAUUAUUUGUGUUCAGACACGUUCCUAGAAUUAAUAUGUAACAUCUCAAAUCAGAUCUAACAGGAUGAAAAUGUGGAAUUUUGGGGGUCCAAUUUUGAGUAUGUAUCAAUCACAAAUUAUGAUUCUGGAAAAAAAAGUAGUUGUAACUAUGAGGUUAAUUAUAGUAACUAUGAGGUAGAUUAUAUGUAGUCAUCAAAUAACAGUUUUGUUACGCAAUGAGUAUCUGUCUUUGCAGUUAUAACACUGCAUCAUUUCUUAAAGUUAGUAUUAUCUUGUAACUUCACGUUGUGUUUUAAUUGCCUACUUGAAUUUGCUGUGCUUUAGUAGUGAAGACUUGCUGACUAGUAUAUUAAUUGUUUUUAAGUGUUAAUGUAAUGCUUGGGACUUAUUUAACUUGGAUAAAUUGUGGGAUCUUUUUUUUCUCUUUUCCUUCUUUUCUUUAAGAGCUCAGCACAUAUAUCGGUCGAAUCUCCCUAUGAACUCAAAUCCCUGCUCUUACAUAAUGGCUAUUAGACUUAUGCUGUAAAGCUAAUCGCAGCAGGUGCCAUCACAGGACAGUGGGACAGUAGUGAACAUCCUUCCUAGUCAGUGGUCUCUGAUGUCAGACCCAGACUUUAUCCUUCUUCUACUGUGCUUUUUCAGGUGAUGUUUAAAGCCUGAUUUGGCUGAUUAGUGCCAAUAUAGUUGAUUAAAGUUGCUUAUUGUUUUAAUCUGUCAGCAGUGUGAAUGUCAUGCAUCUGCUUAGGUAGGAGUAGUGGUGAAUUGAAAGGUAAGAGCUAUGUCUGAUUUCCAAUAUGAGCUGUUUUAGCCAACCCCCAUCUGAUGGGAAGCCUGUACCACUACAGGACUCAAGCUGUGCCUUUGUACUGAUCUGCUGCUCCUCAAUUCAAGAAAUACUGCCUCAAAAUAAAGCUGUUUGUCUUAUAUCAAGAGAUGAUUUCAUAUGCUCUCAGCGGUAGCUUAAGGAGGACUUUAAUCACUGCUCUAUACUAUAUUUUCAUGUGUUUUGCUUUGAUUGCUUUUAUAUACAUACCUUAGUGAAAUGGGGCAGGAACAGAGGAAGUUUUUGUUACAUUCUGACGGUCUUUGACAGGUCCUGUAUGUAUUGGGACUGUCUCCUCAACCAAGGCAGAACCUGAGUUACACGAAGGAAAGCUGUAUUGGGGAAUUGGUCUUCCAGCUGGAGAAGCCAUGCAGAAGCACAUGAUAUCAUGAACAUUAUUAUUAUUUCCCAGAAACUACUGAAAAAAGCAGUUAGUUUUGUCACAGACAUAAAUGUUCUGCUUGGUGUCAGUGCAACCUCCAUUGUUUGCAAAGGUGGUUACCUUGUGUGUGCAGAAGUCCUGCCCGCUACCAUUAGCCAUACCGUUAGCUGUUACAGGAGGCUCUGCUGGUCAGUCAUGGUGACCCAGUCUGGCCAUUUCUGAUAUUUAAUGCAAUUCUCAAGUUGUUGUAAAACUCCAUAAGAAAAAGCCAUGCUAUAAUGAACAGACGGAAAUAAAGCUUCCCUUGUCUAAUAGUGUUAAAAUAUAUAUAUGUAUCUGAAGAAGUAAGGAAAGUGUCAUCAGAAGUUUUUCAUAAGACUUUUCAUGAUCAUUGCAUUCAGUGUUCAUUUAUCAUUUAGAGAAAAAAAAAAUCAGUAAUUAUUUUCAACCAAUAUAGGAAGAGAUUGAGAGCAAAUAUUAAGAUCAUUUGAGAGGACAAUUGAGGAUUUUAUUAUUAUUAUUUAGUAUUUCUCACAGUGCCUCUUAUUGCUAUCAUGUCUGGUUCUUCUUUUUCUACGCUUAAAUAUUCAACACCUCUGUUGUUUUGGCAUCAACAACUGACUCUGUCAGUGUACAUAAGAAGCCUCUGAUCUCUUAUGCUACCUAUGCAGAUUCUGAAUCCUGAGCCAAAACUUGGUCAAGUCAGAGGGGGGAUGUUCAUACAGAGUCCUAGAAAAAUCGUUAUGGGGAACAUCUAGUAUAUCUCAAAUCGUGUAGAGGAAUCUGCUGAAACAAAGCAUGCUGGUACCUAGCUUAACUUGUACUUGUUAAUUAUUAGUGAUUAAUUUUUAAUAGCUAUAUUUUAUAGCUUGUGGUUGGUUAUGCCCCAAGGUAAUGACUUCUUGUGUCUCAUAUUCUGUUAUUUGAAGGACAUCAUUCAAUAUAGCAUCUAUACAGCUUUGUUAAAAGCAUUUAGAUCUAAAUUUUCUGCAGCAAAGUCACAUUUAUUAAAUAGUCCAUAUGUUUAUUACUGUUCACAAUGAUCAAAUCCUGGGAAAACAUUGCAGAAAGAAAAUAUCUAGCUUCCUACCUUAAUUCCCAUUAUUCUAUUGAUUAGAAAAGUGAAGAUUACAUGUAUUAUCAACUGUAUUAUCAGAUAAUCCAUAAUCAGAUGCCAUUUUAAUGACAGGCAUGUGCUUUUUGUGGAGUUCCCUGGUAAAGCAGUAUGAAGAAUUUAAUGACUUCAUUAAAAGAUACUGCAUAACAAAGAAAGGAAAGCCCAAUGCUAUUUAAUAUUAUCUUUACAAUGUAUUACAUUGUUGAAUUGGAUUUUUUGUUUUGCUUAUUUGGUUUUUGCUGUUGUUUUGCAAUUUUAUGUUCUGUAAGUUGAACAAUAAAUGUGUGAUAAGCAAAGGAAAUGUUGAGAUUUUUGCAGAUAUGGGCAAGCAGUGUUAUGACAGGUAUGUUCUGUGUCCUUAAAGAAACAGCAAGAAUGGUUUGUACCUUAAGAUGAUGAAUCUAUAGCGGACUUUCAAAUUCUUUUAAAAAGCAAAAUAAUAAGGAAGGUUUCACUGUUGCAGAUUGUGCCUGGAAUGUUGGGGCUGGGAGAUGCCACAAAGGAUGUUUUCCUUUUUUUUUUUUUUUUUUUUUCCAUUAUUUUAUUUGUUUGUGUGGUAUUUCGGUAUUUUUUUAUUGCCUGUCCAAGCUGACUGUACUAGUACCAUUGUGUUCUCAGAAGUGGAUCUGGAUGAUUCUUUACUUUUUUACUGGAGGUCGGAUUUACUUUUUUUUAGGAAGUCAGAUCCUGUCAUGAAGAUACUAGACUGGAAGUCAGGACUUUCCUUCUUGUGUCAUAGACCUUGUGUGGGCCUAGCCUGGACAGGGUGUUUGAUUCUCACUGCUGCAGUAUUCCGUGUGAAAUUUGAAGUUUUGAUUUAUUCUUUCAAUUUGUUUAAGAAUACAUGUAUUCAUCAUGUAUGAGAUACAGAGAUGUAAUACUAAUGGAUACCUGGAUACAGUCCAUUGGAACGUUGAGUUUUGUAUCUCAAUUAUUGCAAAGCCUAAAAAUAGUUAAUAUUUGAGAGCAAAAAACAAAAUCGAGAAAACUCUUUGUCUUAAAUCUGCCUAUUCAUGAUUUGUCUAAAAGCACAUUAGUUUUGGGAAACAAAACUGAGAUUGUCUGCUGUUUUAGAACUUAAAAAUCAGUGAAAAUCAGCUGUUAUCAUCUUGACUUGGAACUGAAUUUGCUUUGUAACCUAAAAAGGCUGUAAUUUUGUAAAUAGGUAAUAGUUGUGGUAUUGUUUGUAUCAUUAAUACUGUAUUGCAUGUGUUACGAGUGUUGAUGCUGCUAGAUCUCUCAGUGGCUCAGGUUAGUGAAAGCUAUUUAAAGAAGUCUCUGAUGCAGAGAUGCCAUUACAUUUGAUAUCUUACAUUGUGAUUUACAGGUUUUUAAGGCUUUGUUUGAUGUUGAUUUUGGUUUUUUUUUUCAGAGCUCCUCUCCAGUGGUUCUCUGUUUGUUGAUCUGGCAAAGUCAUUUAAAUGAAAGUUCACAGUGCCAGAAUAUGGCUUAGCAAUUCACUGAAGCCACUAGAAUUGGGUUUUAUUUAUUUUAUUGUUUUAUUGCUGUCCUGCUCUGCUUGAAAUUCACCCAUUUAUGUUUAAGUAUGACAACAUAAAGCAAGUAGUAACAACUGUUUCUUUUUUUUUUCAUUGAUCUGCGACAAAUUCUUCAGCUUA
ensembl:lncRNA